GAUGAACGCUGGCGGCGUGCCUAAUACAUGCAAGUCGAGCGAACAGACGAGGAGCUUGCUCCUCUGACGUUAGCGGCGGACGGGUGAGUAACACGUGGAUAACCUACCUAUAAGACUGGGAUAACUUCGGGAAACCGGAGCUAAUACCGGAUAAUAUAUUGAACCGCAUGGUUCAAUAGUGAAAGACGGUUUUGCUGUCACUUAUAGAUGGAUCCGCGCCGCAUUAGCUAGUUGGUAAGGUAACGGCUUACCAAGGCAACGAUGCGUAGCCGACCUGAGAGGGUGAUCGGCCACACUGGAACUGAGACACGGUCCAGACUCCGACGGGAGGCAGCAGUAGGGAAUCGUCCGCAAUGGGCGAAAGCCUGACGGAGCAACGCCGCGUGAGUGAUGAAGGUCUUCGGAUCGUAAAACUCUGUUAUUAGGGAAGAACAAAUGUGUAAGUAACUAUGCACGUCUUGACGGUACCUAAUCAGAAAGCCACGGCUAACUACGUG
rnacentral:rRNA from 1 species